UUGGAUCUGGUUGGAAAGCCACUGAUUGCAUAGUGAGAUUACAUCCUCUUUAGAUUAGGAUGUAUUAGGUUCCUACCACAUUGUUAUUGGAGAAGGCUUACUCAAGGAAUUUUUGCCUUCACAGCCUUGUGCUUUCAAAGUAUAAUCCCAACACAUGCUCAAGUGAUUUUGUUUCUUUCUCAUGAAGUCUCCUGCAUCAUAAUUGAUUUGCUGCAGCCUUGGAAUGAUGCUUUUGAUAAUAUAACACACUUUUGAUAAAAAGUGUGCCAUUUUGUCUUGUGCACUUGAUUAAAGCUUCAAACUUAUUCUUUUGCAAUUCCAUCGCCACCACUUUCUUUUUGUUUUACACCAUGACAUGUUGCACCCAAGAAUGCAUAGCUGUCAGAUUUUUGGGAUAAAUUUUAGACUGCCUCUUUGAUUGUUGUGGUCUUCAGCAAAUAUAAAAUUAAUCCCGUGCACUCUAUUUGUAUUGAAACUAAUUGCAAGGAGCAGCUUCUUUUCUUAUUUGUUCUUCAGUAGCAGUAGUAACUUGUGGCUGGAUUUUCUUUGUGAGUUCGGAACAAUGACAGAUGAUUGCAGACUCAACAUAGCUUGUAUUAAUUUUAACAGAAAUGUUUGCUGUGCAGGUACAAGCAAGAGCAGUGAUUGUAAGCACAGUAGUAUCAAAUUGGCCUCGAAGCUUUAUUUUCAUGUGUGCAGAAGAUCAUCUUUUGAGUCUCAUAAGCCUUGAGUUGGAGUGAGUCUUUUGAAUCUUUUAAGAUGAAAUCUGACUAUGAAUUCAUCAUGGUGAAAAAAAAGAAAUGGAUGGUCUAGUCUUUGAAGUCUGAGGCUGAUGAUCAGUUCUUCCAAGGCCGUAUUUGUUAGUUGCGAAUCUUCAUAACAAGCUUGGAGAAGCAAAUCAAGAGUAUUGUGUGCAAGAUGAUUGAUAAAAUGGUUCAAUAAGGUUUUGUAGAAGCCAACUGCAAUUGAAGACUAGGUUAUUGCACUAUUGAGCUGUGAUGAUGAGAUUGUGAAUGUUUUGGAUGUUUAAUCAAUGAAUGUAUGUUUUGGA